AUAUGCUCAAUACACAAGGUAAUGUUGUAAAUAAUUAAAAACUCAUGUUACGAUCUGAUCAGUGCUUAUUUUAGGACACUAAGCUUGUCCUUGGGAAACCAUCAAUUUAUGUCAGCGAAGUGGUUUCCCCUCCAACGCUGACCUAUAUCAAGAUCAACUCAACGAGAUCUCCAAUAUUUAUUAUAGACAUAUGUAUCAACAACCGCCCUUUUAAAGUUUUUAUAAAUAGAAAGGAUGAGGGGGUUGGAGAUCUCGAAUGUGGUGAUGUUGGAGAGACCAAAAGAUUGGGAAGAUGUUGCAUUUGAGCAUGGAGUAAAUGAAGUGGCUAUGAAAUAAAUUCCAUGCUCAUUAAUGCUUAGAGUGAAAUCCAUGUGGUGUGGUGAAAAUGGUAAGGUGAGUGUGGUAAAAAAAGAAAAAGAAAAAGGAUACACAUGGGACUUGGUUCGAAACUAGCACAGCUACCGUUCCCCGGCAACGACGCUAGAAAGCUUGUUGGGUAUUUGAAACGCAAACAGAAAAAUCCGCAAGCGCACGGAUACCGAUGUAGCCUUCACCCGGG
rnacentral:lncRNA from 1 species